rnacentral:rRNA from 1 species
CCUACGGGAGGCAGCAGUGAGGAAUAUUGGUCAAUGGGCGGAAGCCUGAACCAGCCAAGUAGCGUGCAGGAUGACGGCCCUACGGGUUGUAAACUGCUUUUAUCCGGGAAUAACGCGCCUUACGUGUAGGGCUUUGCAUGUACCGUAUGAAUAAGGACCGGCUAAUUCCGUGCCAGCAGCCGCGGUAAUACGGAAGGUCCGGGCGUUAUCCGGAUUUAUUGGGUUUAAAGGGAGCGUAGGCCGCAUGUCAAGCGUGCUGUGAAAUGUCCGGGCUCAAACCGGGCCGUGCCGCGCGAACGGGCGUGCUGGAGGGCGCGGAAAGCAGGCGGAAUGCGUGGUGUAGCGGUGAAAGGCUUAGAUAUGACGAAGAACCCCGAUUGCGAAGGCAGCUUGCUGGAGCGGAACUGACGCUGAUGCUCGAAAGCGCGGGUAUCGAACAGGAUUAGAUACCCCUGUAGUC